UACGUAGGAUCCAAGCGUUGUCCGGAAUUACUGGGUGUAAAGGGUGCGCAGGCGGCUUUGUGCGUCAGAGGUGAAAUCCACGGGCUUAACCCGUGGGGUGCCUUUGAAACGGCAUGGCUUGAGUACGAGAGAGGUCGAUGGAAUUCCUGGUGUAGCAGUGAAAUGCGUAGAUAUCAGGAGGAACACCGGUGGCGAAGGCGGUCGGCUGGGCUAACACUGACGCUCAGGCACGAAAGCGUGGGGAGCAAACAGG
rnacentral:rRNA from 1 species